rnacentral:tRNA from 1 species
GUCCGCGUAGCUCAACUGGAUAGAGUGUCGGCCUCCGAAGCCGAAGGUUGGAGGUUCGAACCCUCCCGCGGAUG